UGCCUCCACACCGGAUUGAACGAUGGACCUUUGCAUUACAAGUGCAACGCUCUACCACUGAGCUAUAGAGGC
rnacentral:tRNA from 1 species